UAGUGUGGCGACAUGUGCCACAGCCCAGGACAAAACUGCAGAGGAUUACUAUAGACUACUAUGCAUUUGUGCUCCCAGGGUGGGGAGCGACCACAUGCAGGAAUGUGCAGAGAGAUAACUCAGUGCCAAGGCCUCUGGCCCUGGAUUCUGGCACCUGCUUCCUGACCAUUCUUUCCACUUCCACACUUCCCAGGUUGGAUUCCUAACAGGCCCUUCUACCCCAGCUGACAAGCCACUCGCUGCCCCGCCCCCCAGAAGGUCCAUGUCUUCAGGGUGGUCAGCAGGGUCACGGCAAGCCGGAGAAGCAAUGUUAAUAGCUCUGGGCUCCACGUGGCGGCCAUUCAGGGGAAAAA